rnacentral:tRNA from 1 species
UCCUAGACCUGUAUGUGGUCUAGUGGUUAGGAUUUGGCGCUCUCACCGCCAAGGCCCGGGUUCGAUUCCCGGCGUGGGAA